GGAAAAGUUGCAGUUGGUGUUUGGUGUCUGAUUUGGAAAAGAUCCUGGCUGGGAUAGCCUUUGUCAGCUCCCUCCUUAUUGAUGUGUUAUAGCUGGACUGCGGAGCUUGCAUGUGAUGGAGGCAGAAUUUGUCUUACUACUACUACUCCCCUCUCUCAAAGUUCCUU